GCACCCAGGUUGUGGGCACCAGAGCGGUGGUCUGAGGAACAGAGCUCUGCCUCACAGCCCAUCUUCCAGCAAUUGACAGAGAUGAGCUUGAAGAAGGGUUACUCUCCAGGGAGCCUGUGGGCCAGCCUGCUACUCCAGUGAAGAUGGAGACCCCAGUUUGGCUCCUCUGAGCUGCUCCACCCUGUUAGCAGGGACAUCUGUGUAAUGACAACUCUCCCCACUGGAGCAAAGGUUGACUGGAGUCGGUGGAAGAGAGCAGAGUCUGGUACGAGACCACGCACGCCCAGAGGGUGGGAGGAGGAGUUCCCUGGUAACUAGUGCACAGAGGAUGAGCUGAAGGACUUGUAAGAUGGUUAGAUCCCUACCUCAUGCCACCCACGGAAACAGAGUCCAGGUGGAGGGAUGGCUUUACAGAGAGCAUGGGGACCUAACUGCAAAGAAAAAGAAACAUGAUAUUUUAAUAAAAAUGUGCUGGAGAAAAAAAAAAAAAAA
rnacentral:lncRNA from 1 species